CAUUAUGAAGCUAUAAUAGCGUUAACCUUUUAAGUUAAAGAAUAGGAGCUUUAAUUCUCCUCAUAAUGA
rnacentral:tRNA from 1 species